UGUUCUAACGUGGAUCCGUGAUCCGGGUUGCGGACAGUGUCUGGUGGGUAGUUUGACUGGGGCGGUCUCCUCCUAAAGAGUAACGGAGGAGCACGAAGGUUGGCUAAUCCUGGUCGGACAUCAGGAGGUUAGUGCAAUGGCAUAAGCCAGCUUGACUGCGAGCGUGACGGCGCGAGCAGGUGCGAAAGCAGGUCAUAGUGAUCCGGUGGUUCUGAAUGGAAGGGCCAUCGCUCAACGGAUAAAAGGUACUCCGGGGAUAACAGGCUGAUACCGCCCAAGAGUUCAUAUCGACGGCGGUGUUUGGCACCUCGAUGUCGGCUCAUCACAUCCUGGGGCUGAAGUAGGUCCCAAGGGUAUGGCUGUUCGCCAUUUAAAGUGGUACGCGAGCUGGGUUUAGAACGUCGUGAGACAGUUCGGUCCCUAUCUGCCGUGGGCGCUGGAGAACUGAGGGGGGCUGCUCCUAGUACGAGAGGACCGGAGUGGACGCAUCACUGGUGUUCGGGUUGUCAUGCCAAUGGCACUGCCCGGUAGCUAAAUGCGGAAGAGAUAAGUGCUGAAAGCAUCUAAGCACGAAACUUGCCCCGAGAUGAGUUCUCCCUGAGACUUAGAGUCUCCUGAAGGAACGUUGAAGACGACGACGUUGAUAGGCCGGGUGUGUAAGCGCAGCGAUGCGUUGAGCUAACCGGUACUAAUGAACCGUGAGGCUUAACCUU
rnacentral:rRNA from 1 species